UGCUUUACCAUGCAAGUCGAACGGCAGCACGGGGUUUACCCUGGUGGCGAGUGGCGAACGGGUGAGGAAUACAUCGGAACGUGUCUAUAAGUGGGGGAUAACGCAUCGAAAGGUGUGCUAAUACCGCAUAAUCUCUCAGGAGAAAAGCAGGGGAUCGCAAGACCUUGCGCUUUAGGAGCGGCCGAUGCCUGAUUAGCUUGUUGGUAAGGUAAAAGCUUACCAAGGCUUCGAUCAGUAGCUGGUCUGAGAGGACGACCAGCCACACUGGGACUGAGACACGGCCCAGACUCCUACGGGAGGCAGCAGUGGGGAAUUUUGGACAAUGGGGGAAACCCUGAUCCAGCCAUGCCGCGUGAGUGAAGAAGGCCUUCGGGUUGUAAAGCUCUUUCAGCCGGAACGAAACGGUUACGAUUAAUACUCGUAAUUAAUGACGGUACCGGCAGAAGAAGCACCGGCUAACUACGUGCCAGCAGCCGCGGUAAUACGUAGGGUGCGAGCGUUAAUCGGAAUUACUGGGCGUAAAGGGUCCGCAGGUUGUUUUGUAAGUCAGAUGUGAAAGCCCCGGGCUUAACCUGGGAACUGCGUCUGAAACUACAAGGCUAGAGUAUGGCAGAGGGGGGUGGAAUUCCGCGUGUAGCAGUGAAAUGCGUAGAUAUGUGGAGGAACACCGAUGGCGAAGGCAGCCCCCUGGGUCAAUACUGACGCUGAGGGACGAAAGCAUGGGGAGCAAACAGGAUUAGAUACCCUGGUAGUCCAUGCCCUAAACGAUGUCAACUAGUUGUCGGGCCUUUACGGGCUUGGUAACGUAGCUACGCGUGAAGUUGACCGCCUGGGGAGUACGAUCGCAAGAUUAAAACUCAAAUGAAUUGACGGGGACCCGCACAAGCGGUGGAUUAUGUGGAUUAAUUCGAUGCAACGCGAAAACCUUACCUACCCUUGACAUGUAUCGAAGCCCGCAGAAAGCGGGGUGCCCGAAAGGGACGAUA
rnacentral:rRNA from 1 species